UCUUUCGGCGUAAUGGUGCUGGCUGGUUAUGUGCAGUCUGAAGUGGAACAAUUUUUGUUCUACUAGUUAAUUAUAUAAAUCUAUACAGCUAUGAAGCUAUUUAUUCUAAAGGACUGAAACUAUGUGUCGGUAUUUUAAAAUUCCAAUCUUAUGUUGCAUUUGUUUAUAUUUGAUUUAAGUUUUUAUUUCUUUGCAUGUUGAAACUACAUAUAAAAUGCGAUUGUGUUCUAAUCAGCAUUUGACUUUUAGUUGUUAAUUUACCCGUGUGCAGCUUUCAUAUGCAUAAGAAGUUUAAACGACAUCACUUUGAUCUAUGUCGCAACCCCUUAACUUUUCAAUUCCCAAUUGCUCAACACUUGAACUAGACAAUCGAUUCGGUGCGACAGCUAAACUUAAAUGAUUUUUUUCUUAAAAGAGUGUGCCUUGAAAUUAAAUGUCAGUGGCCAAAAAGUCAACAUUUUCAACAUAUGCUGAACGGAGGGUCAUUCGUAUUCGGACUGCGCUACCGACCACACCUCCAGUGGUUAGAGUUUGUUUGCUAAGAAAUCAAAAUUUCGGUUCGCCCUAAAAUAAAAAACGUCCACCAUCACAAACUGACUAAGGACAAGUGAUAUGUACUGUGAAGAACAGGCGGAGUUCAGAAAGGAUACGAGUAUACUUCCCCGACCAGCGGUGAGAGUAUAAUCCAAACCGAUCAGUAGACGGCUCUUAAGAGCACUCAGAAGCACAUAUCCCAAGCAAAAAUACUAAAUGAAUCAACCAAAAGCUUUAUCUCCGACGCACCUGGUUUUGGUUUUCAAUCAACGAAAUACUAGGAUAAUUCCUUCACAGAAGCUAAUGUGGAUGCAAGCCAAGGCUUUUAGGAGAGCCUGUCUUUUUAUGGAGUGGUAUGGCAGUUGAUUUGAACUAUUUCG